AGUGAACGCUGGCGGUAGGCCUAACACAUGCAAGUCGAACGGCAGCACAGUAAGAGCUUGCUCUUACGGGUGGCGAGUGGCGGACGGGUGAGGUAUACAUCGGAAUCUACUUUUUCGUGGGGGAUAACGUAGGGAAACUUACGCUAAUACCGCAUACGACCUACGGGUGAAAGCAGGGGAUCUUCGGACCUUGCGCGAUUGAAUGAGCCGAGGUCGGAUUAGCUAGUUGGCGGGGUAAAGGCCCACCAAGGCGACGAUCCGUAGCUGGUCUGAGAGGAUGAACAGCCACACUGGAACUGAGACACGGUCCAGACUCCUACGGGAGGCAGCAGUGGGGAAUAUUGGACAAUGGGCGCAAGCCUGAUCCAGCCAUACCGCGUGGGUGAAGAAGGCCUUCGGGUUGUAAAGCCCUUUUGUUGGGAAAGAAAAGCAGCAGGUUAAUACCCCGCUGUUCUGACGGUACCCAAAGAAUAAGCACCGGCUAACUUCGUG
rnacentral:rRNA from 1 species